rnacentral:lncRNA from 1 species
UUUUGAAUCCUGGCCAACAGGUACAUGAUCAGAGAAAAGAAGCAGAGAAAAAGAAGCUUGAAGAAUCUUCACUAAAGGCUUUUCAAAGAUUGCCCAGAGAAAGACCCUUGAUAAAUAGCAAAUUCAGAGACAGGGAUCAUUCUUGUCAUUGUGUCUCAGAAGAUAGCAACUCCCCUAUUACAAAUGAUAAGAUGCUGGCUUCUACUAAAAAAAAGAUGGUAAGCUGCAGCCAGUCCUCCCAAUGUGUAGGAGUUGGUUCACACCACAGUAGAAAAACCCAAAGGCAAUACAGUCCUAGGACACCCAGAUCCAAAUCCUGGUGUGUCAGACCCAUUAGCAGAGGUCAGAGUUAUAUCUCUCUGAGGGAAAGUCACAGAAGCAAGCACUGUGGGCUGUCAAAAAGAAGUGCUCAUGGCUGUGAAUCAACCUACAGGGUGGCAUCUUUGAGCCCAGUCCACCGCGUCCAAGCUUGUUUAACAGAUAGAAAGAGUUGUAAAUGUGCAUCUAAAGGAGAAGGUGAAUCUCAAACUGGAGGACAUUGUGACAGUCUC